AGGCUGGCUUGCAAACAGGCCGAACCAGAUUCCCCAAGCAGAGAGUAAUCAAUUCGCCAUCUACUGCACUUGCACAAGGCAGCUUCUCUCUCGCACUCUCUCACACACACCACAGCUCUUGAAGACGAACCCCUGGACAACUAUUUAAGAACUGGAAGCAGAACGCAUGCAGAAAAUAUUUAACGGAAGGUCACUCAAGACACAUUACUUAGGCAAGUAUUCAAAACAGUGUUUCUCAGACUGCACUCGAGCUUGUCUGUAGGAGUUCCUCAGUAAAGGAUAAAAGAGGCUGCCACCAACACAGGAUUACAAGCUAAAUCUGUCUAUCUGAAGAAGGAUUAAGUCUGUGGAAAACAUGUUCACUCUGUUCAAUUCCAUGACUUGUAUUGUGCAAAAAUCUGCUUAGAGGCUUGAAUACGCAUUAGGGAUCAGAGCAACCACCACAGCAGCGUCAUUUGUUAACAGGGUUACUUGGUCUGCGUUUCAUCUGUCUGCAUAACAGGCUAAAGAUCCCCCUCCAUGGAUAUUGCUAGGUUCAAGACAGGCAGAUAUUCAACAGCGGUCUAAGUUUUCUUUUUCUUUCUUUCUUUCUUUUUUUCUUUUUUUAAUUAUAUAUUUAUAAAACAGCUCCACAAUUUGCCAGGGCUUUCUAAAAAAUUAUUAUUAUAUGAAAGAUGUCUUCAAGCAAGCCACUUAAAUAUUUUUUAGGAAAACUUUCUAUAUUCAAAAACAAGCAAGGAAAUUAAGAAUGACCACAUAAGGCCAGGCUGAAUGCUGUACCCCAUGUCAUUUGAAAGAUUAUUUAAAUCACAUCUGACGGUGGGGCUGGUGUAACAAAGAUAAUAUGUUCCUAUCGUUUCAUGAAAACAGACAGUUUACUGUUGACAGCUUUACUGAAUAUUUAUCUUCAGUGGAAAAACAGCUGAUAAAAGCUGGCAAAAAAGUCCUGCACCUACCCCACACCACUGAGUUGUCUCUACAGGUGUAAGUUAAUUGGAUUUCUGCAACUGUUUCAUAGAGCUUGGCAGUACAAGGUCAGAAAAUCAGACAUAGAAUUUGGCUUGUAGAGAGGGAGAACUGAAGGCACAGUUAAAAGGCACAGAGCAACCUGAAAAGCACUGCGGAAGCUAAGUCACCAUCAGUCAGUCACUACCACGCUUUUGGGAGAAUCCUUGUUCCACCAGAGAUGGAGAUUCAGAACAGACAACUUGGCCAGAACAAUACAAGCCAUGAUUCCAGCAAGGGAAUGGGGACACCUGCUUGUGAAAAAUUCCAGCUUUAAAACUAAGCAGACUUUAUUCUGAAGAAUGUUUUGCACUGUGAGCCAUACAUACGUGCUCACACAGGAGAGAACAAUGAGAACGUGAGGGUUUGUUAGGGGCCAAAGAAACAGUUGUUGAAGAUGCUGAAAUUACAGUGAUACUGCUGAAAUAUUUGUUCCUAUUGUACCGUUAGGUUUCCAAAAAUAAUGAACAGCCUCCAUUGUAAAAACACAGUCUGCAGUAGUAGCUGCAGAUCUAUUUUGGCAAGUAUGACUUUGGUGACUAUGCUGAUCUGCCCAGGUUUCAACAGUCCUAAGAAUCUAAAUACAUCUGGAACAGAUUUCUGCUAAAAUCCACUAAUCAUAACUGCAGUAUCCUCCUAUAGGCUGUAUGGCUGUUGCACGGCUAAAUAUAUAGCUUUUAUCAACCCUGAAGACUAACCAAAGGUCUGCAAGCCUUGUUAAGAAAAGAAGAAAAAAAUUGCUUUCUAGAUCAAACACUACUCAAGCUAUGGUACAGAGCCAUGAGAAACAGUCACAGAAGUCAGAACCAUUUUUUCCUGGAAUUUCGCAUUAGAAAUAACAUAUCCACCUUUGUCCUAUUUUUCCAAAAGAAUAUCCUUCUAGCAAACUUUCAGAAAAAACUGUCACUUUCAGCUGAUAAAAUCAGUAAGAUCCAUCUUGAAACACAAUGGAAAACUAAAUAACGCAGUACACAUGUUUUCAGGGUAAAUAUUCUGGAAUAUAAAUGGGAGAAUAUUCAUAACUUUAUUCAUACUUUUGCAAGUCAGUGAACUUACACAACAAGCAUAAAUAGAAAGUCAAGGUGGAGUGGCAAUUUUUAAACCUGUCAAAACACUGCCUUGUACUCUCUUGUUGUUACACAAGACAUCCUGCAAUCUUACAAAGAAAAAAAAAUCAUAGUGAAUAUUUGUUUAUAUAAGUACCAGAUUUAUGUCAAUCAAAUUAUGUCCUGCUUGCAUGUGUCACUGGAGAAGGACAAGGCAAAGUAUCCUCCAAGGUCAAGUGGUCCCUUGCUGGAGAAAGUAUAUAGAAAACCGUUCGGGCUUUUCUGAUUAUAAGCAAUGAUACAAAAUAUAAUUCAUUAGAACUGUCCUGUAUGUUAUGUGCACACAUAUGCAUUUCCUUCUCUGGGAUUUUUUCCUAAUUAUACAUACUUACAACAUCAAUCUUAUAUAUAGUUUCUUGAUGUAUGCACAUUACUGGAUGGUCAUCCAAAAGCAAUUUCUGCACAAAAAUCAGGUCCAUUGAUUUCUCUAAUUUGUGCUAGGAAGUAGCACAGAUUUUGCAUCACUGCAUUACUUCGAACUAAUCAUGAAUUAGAAUGUUGUCUACAGCUUAUAGAGUUUUUCCCUAUAUCUUCUGUCACUUACAAGCCCUCCUUUUCCAUCAGUUGCUUUGUAGUUAAAGUGUUAGAAUGUUCCUUCAGCUAUUUAUUGAACUAUUGAAAAAAAAUUUUCUCCAGUCUAAAAACAUGCUAUGACGUGUGAAAUGGAUUGGAUUUCCAAUGAAAUCCAAAAAUGAACCCUUACCAGGAGCACAUUUUGCUACAAAUGAGCGUCCCACACACCCAACAAUACAGUGGUCAAUUCAAGGCACACAAGAACUAAGACACUCUGAACACUUUCUCUUCAAGUCUGCAAGACAAUUAGACACCUCUGCCUCCUAACUUAUUCUGUCUCAGUGGACUAAGGGCUCUAAUGGUCCUUGCUAGAAUGACUUAAGAGGCAGUUCCUUCCACACUAUCCACCUUGCCCAUAUGCAUUGGCUAUUAUUCUCAAAAAAUGUGCAAAAGAGCAGUAACAACUUUGCUCCUCGACUGCUGCUGGUGGAUUAAAACUACCUCUGAUUUCAGCCUACAUUAGUUCAAAAUCAUGUUAACUGCAGUGGCCAAUGAGCAAACACAGAGCCUACUCUGCUGCCUCUCCUGUACAUAAAGUGCACUAAUGGGGGCACCUAUUUUUUAAACCACCCUAGCAAGACCUGCAAGAUAUCAAGAAUCAGGAUCCCAACACUAGGAUCUUCACAUUUCCAUAGUGAGAUCCCUUAAUUUUUAACUCAAUCUGUAGGUCUUCACACAAUCAGGCCUGUGAUAUGCUUACUUUUGCUACUAGACUCUUAGAGCAGAAUACCAUCUCAAAAGUUUUCUUUAAACAAUAUGAGAGAGAGAGAUAAAUUACAAGAUUAGAUGAAAAUGAUGGAAACUGAAAAAUUUUACUCUCUCUUUAAAUGGUCAGUUUAGAUGAUAAUAAUUUAUUGAUUUACCUCCUUGAAUUCCUCGAACUGUAGCAGUUUUGCCAGCGUUAUCAAGACCCACCAUGAUUAGCGUCACCUUCCUCCAAAAGGGGAAAAAAAAAAUUUCAAUUUUUCCUCUAGCUAAAUAUCAUUUAUUAUAUUCAGUUUUUGAAUAAAUGCAUAGUAAAUUUACCACAAAGUAGCAAAAUGAGUAAGUUUCAACAUAUCAAGUAGCAGGCACCAUUACAUUUGUGUAUCUGGUAUUCAGUAUGUCAAACCAUCUUAUUAAACAGAACAGAACAACGAAUGAAAUGAGAAGUCUCAUACUGUGCUAUUAGAUUCACAUGUGACAAUGAUUUUGCUUUUAACUUGUAUUCGCCUGCUGGAAUUUAAUUUUGUGAUAUUGUAAAUGUUAUCCUUUUUUGGUAUGGUCAUGGGCUCUUAAAUAAUUUUUUAAAUUUCAUUUCCAUUAUCCUGUGUUCUUUCCCCUCUCUGAAUCAAACAAACAGAUCAGUGGUCUUGCCUAUAUGAGGAAUUUAUUCCUGUCUCAACCAGUGCAGCUGAACAACACCAUACAGUAUACAAUACUUGUGUAGACCACAUAAGCAACUAUAAGCUAAGUGGCACAAACACUUCUCAUGCCUUUGUUUCAAACAGGAGCAAUUCGGGCUGUGAAUGUGCAACUGGUGGUACUGCACCACCAGUAAGUAAUAUAUGGCACCACCAGUAUAAUAUAAUUUGUUCCUCAAAUUGGUGUACAGGCUAGAAUUUGUAUCAGGAUCGGAUUUUGAGCAAAGCAAUAGGAAAAAUAUCUAUGUGUAUAUCUCAAUCAUUCCUCCAAUUCACAAGGAGUCAAAGGAAUUUGCUCAACUUUAUGUUCACUCAAGCUCCUUUAAGUGAAGGAAUACUAAAACCACGGUUAUCUCCAGUCUUAAAAUUAUAAUAACAUCAUACAUGAAAUAUAAUUUAUGCAAGGUCUUUUAGAAGAGCCAAAAAGCUCAGAAAAAAGAACCUGAGAAUGAAUAGCAGGAUCAUAGUAAAUUACACUUUUAACAGUAAGCUACAGCCAGAACAGCCAUGAGCAUUUAUGACUCACAAUGGCCUACAUUAGUGGUGUCAAAAAGCUAUUUAAUCCAAUAUACUUAUUUGUACAACAGCACAUUCUGCAAAAUGUAAACUCUUCUAGCAUUCAAGAGAACUCCUCCUCCUAUGUGACCAUGAAAUGUAAAUAGAUGUGUACCCCUUAUUUCCCCUUCUCCUAGUUUGUAAAUGGUUUGAAAUAAAAUCUGUGCAUUGAUGCUAA